rnacentral:rRNA from 1 species
GGGGAAUAUUGCACAAUGGGCGAAAGCCUGAUGCAGCAACGCCGCGUGAGUGAAGAAGGCUUUCGGGUCGUAAAACUCUGUUGUUGGAGAAGAAUGGUCGGCAGAGUAACUGUUGUCGGCGUGACGGUAUCCAACCAGAAAGCCACGGCUAACUACGUGCCAGCAGCCGCGGUAAUACGUAGGUGGCAAGCGUUAUCCGGAUUUAUUGGGCGUAAAGCGAGCGCAGGCGGUUUUUUAAGUCUGAUGUGAAAGCCCUCGGCUUAACCGAGGAAGCGCAUCGGAAACUGGGAAACUUGAGUGCAGAAGAGGACAGUGGAACUCCAUGUGUAGCGGUGAAAUGCGUAGAUAUAUGGAAGAACACCAGUGGCGAAGGCGGCUGUCUGGUCUGUAACUGACGCUGAGGCUCGAAAGCAUGGGUAGCGAAC